rnacentral:rRNA from 1 species
CAAUAGCGUAUAUUAAAGUUGUUGCAGUUAAAAAGCUCGUAGUUGGAUUUCUGGUGGGAGCGAUCGGUCUGGCGCUUAGCGCGAGUACUUGCAUCGUCUCCGGCCAUCCUUGGGGAGAGUCUGUCUGGCAUUAGGUUUUCGGGCAGAGGAUCCUCAUCGUUUACUGUGAAAAAAUUAGAGUGUUCAAAGCAGGCUUAUGCCGUUGAAUAUAUUAGCAUGGAAUAAUAAGAUAGGACUUUGGUACUAUUUUGUUGGUUUGCGCACCAAAGUAAUGAUUAAUAGGGACAGUUGGGGGUAUUCGUAUUCCGUUGUCAGAGGUGAAAUUCUUGGAUUUACGGAAGACGAACUACUGCGAAAGCAUUUACCAAGGAUGUUUUCAUUAA